GAUAAUUAAAAUACUCCCCAAACCGAGACCUACAGGGAGAAUAAAUUACGUCUCUCAUAUCCGUAAGUGAAGGGAUUUACGGAAAUAUAAGUUUCG
rnacentral:ncRNA from 1 species